CUUGUUAGAUUUAAAUGUGUUUUCUGAAUUUAUUUCACUUUAUCAUCACUUUCUUCGUCUAUUGAAACCUUUAAGAUUUUUUCUCAGUACUGUUUUGUUUUUCUAAAGGGACGUAACACCACUAUUAACCGUGUAUGAAAUAAGCCCCGCCUCCUUAUUACCUUAUAUGGAAUAUAAAGGGACGUAACUCCACUACUAACCGUGUAUGGAAUAAGCCCCGCC
rnacentral:lncRNA from 1 species